AUUGAACGCUGGCGGCAUGCCUUACACAUGCAAGUCGAACGGCAGCACGGGAGCAAUCCUGGUGGCGAGUGGCGAACGGGUGAGUAAUAUAUCGGAACGUGCCCAGUCGUGGGGGAUAACGCAGCGAAAGCUGUGCUAAUACCGCAUACGACCUACGGAUGAAAGCGGGGGAUCGCAAGACCUCGCGCGAUUGGAGCGGCCGAUAUCAGAUUAGCUAGUUGGUGGGGUAAAGGCCCACCAAGGCGACGAUCUGUAGCUGGUCUGAGAGGACGACCAGCCACACUGGAACUGAGACACGGUCCAGACUCCUACGGGAGGCAGCAGUGGGGAAUUUUGGACAAUGGGCGAAAGCCUGAUCCAGCAAUGCCGCGUGCAGGACGAAGGCCUUCGGGUUGUAAACUGCUUUUGUACGGAACGAAACGGUCUCUUCUAAUAAAGGGGGCUAAUGACGGUACCGUAAGAAUAAGCACCGGCUAACUACGUGCCAGCAGCCGCCGCCG
rnacentral:rRNA from 1 species